GAUGAACGCUAGCGGCAGGCCUAACACAUGCAAGUCGAGGGGCAGCACAGAAACAGCAAUGUUUUGGUGGCGACCGGCGGACGGGUGCGUAACGCGUAUGCAACCUACCUUUAACAGGGGGAUAACGGAGAGAAAUUUCCACUAAUACCCCAUAACAUCGAUCAAGGCAUCUUGAUUGGUUGAAAACUCCGGUGGUUAAAGAUGGGCAUGCGUUGUAUUAGGUAGUUGGUGAGGUAAUGGCUCACCAAGCCUACGAGACAUAGGGGGACUGAGAGGUUAGCCCCCCACACUGGUACUGAGACACGGACCAGACUCCUACGGGAGGCAGCAGUGAGGAGUAUUGGUCAAUGGGGGCAACCCUGAACCAGCCAUGCCGCGUGCAGGAAGACGGCUCUAUGAGUUGUAAACUGCUUUUAAACAGGGAUAAAGCACAGUAUGUAUACUGUGUUGAAGGUACUGUAAGAAUAAGGAUCGGCUAACUCCGUGCCAGCCGCCGCGGUAA
rnacentral:rRNA from 1 species